AAUCUGAAAGGGGCCAAAAAAGAAACUGCACAGACUCCCAUCUCCCAUACUACACAUUCAAAUAGCUUAAGAACGCUCGUGGCCUGGACCCAUUUGUGCCUGAAGCCCACCGUUUGCCUCUUCGUUUGGUUCAGCGCCAGAGGCAGAGGCCGCCGGAGCUGUCUUACGUCUCCUGCUAAAGUGCGACAGCAACACAUGGAUUGCAAAAUAGACCAGCACGCCGAAGACGAGCGUGGAGACAAUCAUGGAGGUCUUCAGGGUCCUGCUGGACCCUGCAGCGUAGGCGAUCAGGAGGCCGAGCAGGUCCAGAACGAUAGUGGCGUUCAUCACCCAGAGCCACAAUGGCUUGUUUUGCAGUGACGGGGGAAGCAGAAGCACGAUGACGACGACGGACGCCACAAAGGAGGUGGAGUUGCUGUAGAAGAAGGCCAGGUACCGCGACCUCCUGUUGUCGUGCAUCACCGGGUCGCCGGCGGCGUGCCCGCUGCCGUUGGACUGCCAGAACCCACCGGGCGGCGCCAGGCCGGCCUGGUAGGUGACGCUCGCCGCAAGGAUCCCCAGCAGCAUCAGGUACUUGCGCUUGGCAUGCAACUUCUUUUCCCGGCGAACUUGUGCAGCUGUAUUGCUGCUGUUGCCGCGUACUUGUGAAGGGGCCUGCUCUGCUCUCGUGGCAUUAUUGGCACCACCGCCUUCCUCAG
rnacentral:lncRNA from 1 species